rnacentral:tRNA from 1 species
GGAGAGGUGCUCGAGUGGCUGAAGAGGCACGCCUGGAAAGCGUGUAUACCUCAAAAGGGUAUCGCGGGUUCGAAUCCCGCCCUCUCCGCAA